rnacentral:rRNA from 1 species
AACGAACGCUGGCGGCAGGCCUAACACAUGCAAGUCGAGCGAGGACUUCGGUCCUAGCGGCGGACGGGUGAGUAACGCGUGGGAACGUGCCCUUUGCUUCGGAAUAGCCCUGGGAAACUGGGAGUAAUACCGGAUGAGCCCUUUGGGGGAAAGAUUUAUCGGCGAAGGAUCGGCCCGCGUUGGAUUAGGUAGUUGGUGGGGUAAUGGCCUACCAAGCCGACGAUCCAUAGCUGGUUUGAGAGGAUGAUCAGCCACACUGGGACUGAGACACGGCCCAGACUCUACCGGGAGGAGGAGGUGGGGAACUUAGACAAUGGGGGGAAACCCUGAUCUAGCCAUGCCGCGUGAGCGAUGAAGGCCUUAGGGUUGUAAAGCUCUUUCAGCUGGGAAGAUAAUGACGGUACCAGCAGAAGAAGCCCCGGCUAACUCCGUG